rnacentral:rRNA from 1 species
UGGUGGAGCGAUUUGUCUGGUUAAUUCCGAUAACGAAUGAGACUCUGGCCUAUUAAAUAGUUCGCCGAUUCCGAUCUGUCGGCGUUAACUUCUUAGAGGGACAAGUGGCUUUUAGCCACGCGAGAUUGAGCAAUAACA